UUUUUUUAGUUGCACAUACCUCAUAAUCAUGCCUCCGGCACAUGGGAGCCGGUAAACAGGAUCACCCUAUCAUUCUUUGGCAUGACACACACAGGCUCACAAAUCGUUGGCACCCGUAUAUCAUCGAGUCAUCGGAACCGAAACGUUAUCGUGGCAUCGUUUCUGUUUUGCCGUCAUGGUUCCCUUUCGUUCACCAUGGCGACACAUGCUUCAUAUCCUUCUUCCGAGUGUUUAAUAAAAUUGCAUGCAUGUUGCAUUCAUGGCAUAAUAUCCCGUGUUGCACGUAUCUUUUGAACCGUAGCUCCGUUGGCGAUGGUCCAUAUAUGCAAAUCGACUAGAAUGGCGUGUAGAAUCACAU
rnacentral:lncRNA from 1 species